rnacentral:rRNA from 1 species
ACAGAGGUGCCAAGCGUUAGGCGGAAUCACUGGGCUUAAAGCGUGUGUAGGCGGAUCGUUAAGUGCUUUGUGAAAUCCCACGGCUCAACCGUGGAACUGCUUGGCAUACUGGCGAUCUUGAGCUGCCUAGGGGUCACUGGAACAAACGGUGGAGCGGUGAAAUGCGUAGAUAUCGUUUGGAACGCCCAAGGUGAAAACAGGUGACUGGGGGCAAGCUGACGCUGAGACACGAAAGCCAGGGGAGCAAACGG